AGAGUUUGAUCCUGGCUCAGGAUGAACGCUAGCGGCAGGCUUAACACAUGCAAGUCGAGGGGCAGCACGGGUAGCAAUAUCUGGUGGCGACCGGCGCAAGGGUGCGUAACGCGUGAGCAACAUGCCCGUAUCAGGGGAAUAAUCCAGGGAAACUUGGUCUAAUACCCCAUAGCAAUUAUUUGAGGCAUCUUAAAUAAUUUAAAGCUUUGGUGGAUACGGAUUGGCUCGCGUGACAUUAGCUAGAUGGUAAGGUAACGGCUUACCAUGGCUACGAUGUCUAGGGGUUCUGAGAGGAAGAUCCCCCACACUGGAACUGAGACACGGUCCAGACUCCUACGGGAGGCAGCAGUGAGGAAUAUUGGACAAUGGAUGGAAAUCUGAUCCAGCCAUGCCGCGUGCAGGAAGACGGCCCUAUGGGUUGUAAACUGCUUUUGUGUGGGAGCAAUAAGGUCUAUGCGUAGACUGAUGAGAGUACCAUACGAAUAAGCAUCGGCUAACUCCGUGCCAGCAGCCGCGGUAAUACGGGGGAUGCAAGCGUUAUCCGGAUUUAUUGGGUUUAAAGGGUGCGUAGGCGGUUUGAUAAGUCAGCGGUGAAAUAUUUCAGCUUAACUGAAAGGGUGCCGUUGAUACUGUCAGGCUUGAAUAUGGUUGCUGUGGGUGGAAUGUGUGGUGUAGCGGUGAAAUGCUUAGAUAUCACACAGAAUAUCGAUUGCGAAGGCAGCUCACAAAGCCAUUAUUGACGCUGAUGCACGAAAGUGUGGGGAUCAAACAGGAUUAGAUACCCUGGUAGUCCACACUGU
rnacentral:rRNA from 1 species